rnacentral:rRNA from 1 species
UGAAUACGAGACGCUACGGCGUCGAAGCAGUCUAUGUCAUACUUCCAAGAAAAGCUCGCAAUGUCAUAAACAAAUAAUGCCUGUACCAUAACCGACACAGGUGGGUAGGUAGAGUAUACUAAGGGGCGCGAGAUAACUCUCUCUAAGGAACUCGGCAAAAUGACUCCGUAACUUCGGGAGAAGGAGUGCCUUAUUUAUAAGGUUGCAAUAACAAGAUCCAAGCAACUGUUUAUCAAAAACACAGGUCUCCGCUAAGUCGUAAGACGAUGUAUGGGGGCUGACGCCUGCCCAGUGCCAGAAGGUUAAAGAAGUUGGUUAGCAUUCGCGAAGCUGAUAACUGAAGCCCUGGUGAACGGCGGCCGUAACAAUAACGGUCCUAAGGUAGCGAAAUUCCUUGUCGGGUAAGUUCCGACCCGCACGAAAGGCGUAAUGAUUUGGAUACUGUCUCGGAGAGGGGCUCGGCGAAAUAGACUUGUCUGUGAAGAUGCGGACUACCUGCACCUGGACAGAAAGACCCUAUGAAGCUUUACUGUAACUUGAAAUUGAAAUUGGACUUUAUUUGCGCAGCAUAGGUGGGAGGCGUUGAGAGUAUUCUUGCGGGAAUAUUGGAGCCAUCAGUGAGAUACCACUCUUGUAAUGUUAGAUUUCUAACUUUGGAUCAUUAUCUGGUCAAAGAACAGUUUCAGGCGGGCAGUUUGACUGGGGCGGUCGCCUCCCAAAUGGUAACGGAGGCGUACAAAGGUUUCCUCUGAACGGGUAGAAAUCGUAUCUAGAGUGUAAAGGCAUAAGGAAGCUUGACUGUGAGACCUACAAGUCGAGCAGGGACGAAAGUCGGUCUUAGUGAUCUGACGGUGCUGAGUGGAAAGGCCGUCACUCAACGGAUAAAAGUUACUCUAAGGAUAACAGGCUGAUCUCCCCCAAGAGUUCACAUCGACGGGGAGGUUUGGCACCUCGAUGUCGGCUCAUCGCAUCCUGGGGCGGUAGUACGUCCCAAGGGUUGGGCUGUUCGCCCAUGAAAGCGGUACGCGAGCUGGGUUCAGAACGUCGUGAGACAGUUCGGUCCAUAUCCGGUGUAGGCGUUAGAAUAUUGAGAGGAGCCUUCUUUAGUACGAGAGGACCGAGAAGGACAUACCUCUGGUGUACCAGUUAUCGUGCCAACGGUAAACGCUGGGUAGCUAUGUAUGGAGAGGAUAACCGCUGAGAGCAUCUAAGUGGGAAGCCCACCUCAAGAUAAGUAUUCUC